rnacentral:rRNA from 1 species
GACGAACGCUGGCGGCGUGCUUAACACAUGCAAGUCGAACGGAAAGGCCCUGCUUUUGUGGGGUGCUCGAGUGGCGAACGGGUGAGUAACACGUGAGUAACCUGCCCUUGACUUUGGGAUAACUUCAGGAAACUGGGGCUAAUACCGGAUAGGAGCUCCUGCUGCAUGGUGGGGGUUGGAAAGUUUCGGCGGUUGGGGAUGGACUCGCCGCUUAUCAGCUUGUUGGUGGGGUAGUGGCUUACCAAGGCUUAGACGGGUAGCCGGCCUGAGAGGGUGACCGGCCACAUUGGGACUGAGAUACGGCCCAGACUCCUACGGGAGGCAGCAGUGGGGAAUAUUGCACAAUGGGCGGAAGCCUGAUGCAGCAACGCCGCGUGCGGGAUGACGGCCUUCGGGUUGUAAACCGCUUUCGCCUGUGACGAAGCGUGAGUGACGGUAAUGGGUAAAGAAGCACCGGCUAACUACGUG